rnacentral:lncRNA from 1 species
CCUGGAGAGAAGAUCUACAGGACACAGAAAUGUCCUCACCAGUGUCUACAUAAAAAUUUCAAUUUGGCAAAAGGUAAAAAAUUUUCAUUGCAGGUGUAAAAAAUUCUCCAGAAUUAGACAUUACUAGCCCUCCUCCAGACCCUCUAGCUCAACUCCAGCAGAACUCAAAUUAUUGAUCUUUUGCGAGAAAAUUUAGGAUCUUUUUCAGGUCGGUGGCAGCUGAUUAAAGCUUGCAGCCAAAUAGCAAUCAUAUCACUUUAUUUCUUUAUUUAUUUUAAAAAUAGCCUUAUCAGGAAUAUUGCAACAAAUGAAGCAGCCUUUUUUCUUUUAUAAAAAAAAAAAUUAUAUCUUCGUGCUUUGGCGGAGUUCUUCAUAUUAAAUUUAUACAUAUAAUAAUAGAUGAUAACUGGUGUGGCAGUUCAAGUGCAGGAAGUCUUUGCUUUAAAUAAUAGUAACAGCUUCUGCACAUGUGAUCAUACCUGACAAUGCAAACAAAACUAGCAACAGCUUCUGUAUAUAUUGACAUAACAGUGAUGUGAUUGUGGAAGCCAGUUGAGAUCUUGAAUCAACCCAAGAGAUGAUCCAUGAUAAAUAUGAUAAAAAAUACAACAGGAAAUUUAAAAUCAAACCGCUCUAUGCAACAGUCAUUUUUGUUUUUGAAUUUAUUGUUCUUAGUGCUCAGUAAUGUAAAAAGAAUUAAAUUUUGGGAGUUGUCAAGGGCAGUAAAAAGGGGUAAAAUUAUCUUAUAUUUUGAUGUACAUGAUGAUUUAGCAUCAAACCAAGCACAAGAACAAAACUGCUGCCACCAGCAAUACCCCCUCACACUCCCACAUGUGGCACUGGAUAAUUCAAUUAUUCUACCAACGCAACUUUUAAGGCAGAACUCAUAUGCCCUGCAAAUCUGAUUAUUGCCAACACUACCUCAUCCAAAUCAACCGCCAAAAUUCAGAAUUUAAACAAGUUCACACCUGAACAGAAUCAAUCCCACUUGAAUAAAACACACUAAUGGCAUAAAUCUACUUCCAUGGUCAGGCUAAUUGUUGGUUUAAAACCUCUUAUUCCCUAACCCUUAAAACCAUUUAUGCCUUUCAAAACAGCAAGUGAAACAUGCUAACAGUACUCAACAAAGAAUCACAUAGAACCUGAGGAACUUGUAUGUAUAAUAGACUGUAAUGACAUGCUUGAACUUACUGGCCAAACAUGCUUAUAAACCUCACUCCACCUCUUUGGUAAAAGAAGAAAUUUAGUGUUUAGAUUACAAGGGAAGGAGAGAAGUUUUCCUUUUUUGUCGAAGAAGGAGAGAAGUUUACUAAACAAGACAUCACAUGCUGUAUCAGGCUUAAUGAAUGAGAUUAGAGUGCUGAAUAGAACGAUGAUUUAUAUUGGCGGUUAUGGGGGUUUUUUUUUUCAUACAAACAGAAAAACUAAGUGAAUGAGAAUUCCAUAGAAAGAGUGUGAUUCAAAAAAAUUGUGUCCAGAAAUAGCCACAUAAAAACAAGAUAAAGUCUCUAGAAUAAAAACAAGAUAACUUCUCCAGGCAUAAAAACAAGAUGCCUUCUACAGGUGUGAGCUGCUGAAACAGGGUUCUUGCUUACUUGGCUGCAGGUGGAAAGUUAGGGAGACAAGUGUUCUGGUGUGGGGACUUAAGCUGCCAUACACAAAUAGGAGCCGGAAAUUGAAAGAGCAGAAGAGAGCAACGGUGGAAUUCAGAAGUGGAAAGGGAAGGACACGGUGAGUUCUUAAUUGUAAUCCCUAUGGUGGUUUUCUAAUUCUUCUUAUCUUGCUUUUGUUUGCAUGAUAUGAUUUUGCUUUGCUCCCAUUUGCAGAGUAUGUAGUGAUUCAAUAGUAAUCAAACACUUAAAAUGGAAAUUAAACCUAUUCUCAGUGGAAGUGAUGUGUUUGUUUUUCAAUUCAUUCUCGUUGUUCAUUUUCUACAAUAAUUUGCUGUUCAAAGUGUUUGCAUGAAAAGAAUUCGAUUCUCCAUAAAUUAUAAUUUGUGCACCUCUAAAUUACUUUACCAUUGAACCCUAAAUCCUUCAAAGAAAUCACCAAGCAAACUUAAAGCCUCAUACCAAUCCCCAACCCCACGAAUUCCUAAAUGUUCAACAACUCUCACAUUACAGAAUCAUGUUUAAUUAUGCAAAUUCUCAAAUGUUUUCACCAAAUUAAUACAAAAAUCAGCAUCAAUUCACAAGACACCAAGAACAGAAGCUUUUUUCUUCAUAGAUGACACCUGGUGGGGCAUCACAAACUAACAACAAGAAUCCUAACUGCAUAAUUUAAAAAUCAACAAAGAGCACAUGGAGAUUGUAACAGAACGAAAUUAAUAGAACAAGCCAUCCAUUAAAUGGAGUAAACAGAAUAGAUUUCUGGUUUUAUUUGGGUAUGAACAGCACCUUCUGCAGGUAGAUCAAUUCCAGAUGUUUAAAUAAAAGACACCUACAUCACAGAUGUAGAAGAAAAAGAAGAAAGAGGAGGAGGCUAAGUAAUUAGACGAAGAGAUCAGAAAUACCGAGCAGAUAGUGACGACGGCGAUUUCAGUAAGAGGCUUCUCGAUUGCACGAGCGAGCAGCCGUUAUUGACGGCGCCCGUCGGUUACUAGCCCUCACUAUUGAGGGGGCUGAGCACCUGCAUUGACAUGUGUCCUCCCGUAAGUAUGAACAUGGGGCUCACGCUACUGUAAAAGACCAUCGUUUUGUUAGAUCAAAUCUCUGAAGUUGAUGCAUGUGGGAUUUGGAUACAAUUUAUAGGAGGUGACAGUGAUAGGCACAGGUUUGGUGAGAGCACAGGCGAUUGAAUCAAGCCUCCAAGUUUCAAUUUUCGGAAACAGUUGCAUUUAGUAUCUUUCUGAUGUAAGUGUGCCCCAUUUGGUAGAAAGAACUGCUGUUUGAGGAUAGACUGAGAAGACGAACAUCUUCGCCGGCGCCGGUGAAAAGCAAAACAGGUUCUUUUUCAUCUUCUUCUUUUCUUUUUCUUUCAAUGGGAAAAAAAAUUCAGGGAAUUAAAGCAAAAUGAAGCUCGCCGGAGUUGCAUUGACGAGUGGGUUAUGGGUUUUGGAGGAUUCAAUGUUGAGUAAUGCCUGAUAGGAAGAAAGAAAGAGCGGUAAGAUGGGAGGAAAAAGAGAGGGGAGGAUGAGGGAGG